UUACACCCCUAUUUUGUCCCUCAGCAAAUCUGGGGACUCGACCUUGAAAAUAUAUCCAAAAUUCCAUCCAUAUACUCCAUUAAUGCUACACUCACUUCCUCCAUCUUGUUCUAUCAUUUUUCUCCUAGAUUACUCCAAUGGUGUUCCAACUGGGCUCCCUCCUUAUACUUCAGUCUAUUCUCAGCCCAGCAGCCGAGGUGAUCCUGUUAAAGCUUUAAAGGAGGUAUGGGCUCCCUGGGGCCUGAUGUAGUGGAGGCCACAAUAAUCUAAUGGAGAAGAAGCCCCAGAGGAAAGAGAAAUUUACAAGAAAAAAAAAGGUGCCCUCUAUGAAGUGGAAGAGUUUUUCACCCACCAGCAUUGAGUCUCUAUAUUUCAACUUCCCCUCCAGGACCUAGUCACUUCUGCAUCAGGCUUUGCAGGAUACAUCACAAUUCAACUUCUGGCCAUGUGUUUCCUUAUGGUGAUACCAGAUGAACAGUGGAUUAUAGGAGAAUUUCUGGAAGCCAUUUCUUUACCAUGUUAACUGCCCAUAACUAUUCACAGAAGUGACAUAAAAAUGAUACCCCACUAAAUUCAAACUAAAUGUAUACCUCAGGUCCCCAUAGUCAGACCCUGCCUGUUCCCAGUGUCACUCCACAUCACCUGAUGCAAAGAGAAUUGCAACACAAGGAAGGUAGAGUAGGAAGAGGAGGCAGGAUUAUUCUGCUUUGAACUAACUGUAUCUGUUGAAUUAACUGUAUCUGUUUUCUAUUGCUGCAAAAUAAAUGACCACAAAUUUAGCAGCUUAAAACAAUGCCCAUUUAGGGCCGCCUGGGUGUCUCAAUUGGUUAAGCAUCUGACUCUUGAUUUUGGCUCAGAUCAUG